GUUUUAGUAGUUUAAAUAAAAACACUGGUCUUGUAAACCAAUAUUAAGUAUAUUACUUCUAAAACU
rnacentral:tRNA from 1 species